ACGGCUCGGAUUAGCGGGUUGGUUGUGAUAUCUUUGUUUCCUAGCCUAGCACCACCACCACCACCACUGCCACCACCACCACCACCACCACUUACCACCAUUUGUGUAGGCUGAGUGGCCGAGGCAAGUUUUAGGUCAGCGCCGUGUUCGUAGACUCCAUGCUGUCCUGAAGACCGCAUGAUAUCCCAGACUUUAGGGUUGGUAUUCUUAAGACACUUUCGGUUCUCACAUCAGCUAUUUCUAAAGGUCAAAGAGGGGGUCAGUUGGGUUCUAAUGAGUGUUUCUUCAGGUUCAUGUUACAGAAGAAGCGUCAAACUACCGCCAGGGUCAUACAACCACUCCUGGAAAUGCCCAAAACUCCUAUGAAAGCCUUGUCAAAUGAGUGUUUCUUUAGGUUCACGGUACAGAAGAAGCGUCAAACUACCACCAGGGUCAUACAACCACUCCUGGAAAUGCCCAAAACUCCUAUGAAAGCCUUGUCAAAUGAGUGUUUCUUUAGGUUCACGGUACAGAAGAAGCGUCAAACUACCACCAGGGUCAUACAACCACUCCUGGAAAUGCCCAAAACUCCUAUGAAAGCCUUGUCAAAUGAGUGUUUCUUUAGGUUCAUGGUACAGAAGAAGGGUCAAACUACCACCAGGGUCAUACAACCACUCCUGGAAAUGCCCAAAACUCCUAUGAAAGCCUUGUCAAAUAUUUGUUUCUUUAGGUUCAUGAUACAGAAGAAGGGUCAAACUACCACCAGGGUCAUACAACCACUCCUGGAAAUGCCCAAAACUCCUAUGAAAGCCUUGUCAAAUGAGUGUUUCUUUAGGUUCAUGAUACAGAAGAAGGGUCAAACUACCACCAGGGUCAUACAACCACUCCUGGAAAUGCCCAAAACUCCUAUGAAAGCCUUGUCAAAUAUUUGUUUCUUUAGGUUCAUGGUACAGAAUAAGGGUCAAACUACCACCAGGGUCAUACUCCGGGGGGCAACAUGAGCCAGGCAAGACGGCGCCACUAUAAACACUUGCCUGCGCCACGAACAGGUUGGGGCCGACCACUACCAGAACCUACCAAGAAAGUCUAUCCCAGCCACAGGUGAAAAGUAAAAAAAAUAAAAAAAAAUAAAAAAAAAAAAUAAAAACUUGAAUUUUUGGAGUGUUCAUUAUUUUAUUUAUUGUUUUGUUUUCCUUUCUUCCUCAGGUUUGUUCUCCUUGCGUGAUAUGUGUUUGUCUUUUCUCCUUCCUUCCUUCCUUCACUUUCCUUCUUCAUUCAUACACUUUCCUUCCUUCCUUCCUUCCUUCCUUCACUUUCCUUCUUCAUUCAUUCACUUUCCUUCCUUCCUUCACUUUCCUUCUUCAUUCAUUCACUUUCCUUCCUUCCUUCACUUUCCUUCUUCAUUCAUUCACUUUCCUUCUUCCUUCCUUCAGUUUCCUUCACUUUCCUUCCUUCCUUCCUUCACUUUCCUUCUUCAUUCAUUCCCUUUCCUUCCUUCCUUCCUUCACUUUCCUUCUUCAUUCAUUCCCUUUCCUUCCUUCACUUUCCUUCUUCAUUCAUUCCCUUUCCUUCUUUCCUUCCUUCACUUUCCUUCUUCAUUCAUUCACAUUCCUUCCUUCCUUCCUUCACUUUCCUUCUUCUCUUCCUUAUGUUAUAUUUAUGCUGUUACUUGUUAUCUUCUUCUUCCUUCUUCUCUUCUUCCUUCU